rnacentral:sRNA from 1 species
AACCGUCUUUAGUAUAGACGUUCAUAUCUUUAUCUCAUUUUUUGUUAGGUUUAGUGUAAAUUAACAUUGUGCAAGGCACGAAAUUUAGGAGGCAAUAUUAUUAUGCAAAACGGUAAAGUAAAAUGGUUUAACGCUGAAAAAGGUUUCGGUUUCAUCGAAGUUGAAGGUGGAGACGAUGUAUUCGUACACUUCUCAGCAAUUCAAUCUGAAGGUUUCAAAUCUUUAGAAGAAGGUCAAGAAGUUUCUUUCGAAAUCGUUGAAGGUAACCGUGGACCUCAAGCUGCUAACGUAACUAAGAUCUAAUAACAAAUAUAAUGGACAGCCUUCACAAUUGUGAAGGCUGUUUUC